UUCAACGGAGAGUUUGAUCCUGGCUCAGGAUGAACGCUGGCGGCGUGCUUAACACAUGCAAGUCGAACGAUGAUCCCAGCUUGCUGGGGGAUUAGUGGC
rnacentral:rRNA from 1 species